rnacentral:rRNA from 1 species
CCUACGGGAGGCAGCAGUAGGGAAUCUUCCGCAAUGGACGAAAGUCUGACGGAGCAACGCCGCGUGAGUGAUGAAGGCUUUCGGGUCGUAAAGCUCUGUUGUUAGGGAAGAACAAGUACGAGAGUAACUGCUCGUACCUUGACGGUACCUAACCAGAAAGCCCCGGCUAACUACGUGCCAGCAGCCGCGGUAAUA